rnacentral:lncRNA from 1 species
CAAAAAAUUAUAUUUGAAUUUAUAAAAUACAAACUAUACAUUACAAACGAUAGGAAAGCGGGUUGACAGACACGAUAGUGCAUGUCAACAAGCUAGUGAGAAUAAAUGAAGAAUAAAUGAAGAAGGUUAAAUAUAUUAACGGUGAUGAUCGAAGAUAGAUAAGAUACCUGGAAAAGAGAACCACCACAGAAAGAAGAUGCAUAGCAGCAGAAUUACGGGAAUUACGUGAUUCCAAUUCUCCGGCGAUCGUGACCAGGAAGAGUCCCUCCUGACGGCAGCGCUCCGGCGAUGAUAAAGAGGAAGACCGUCAAGAAAAUCAUUGUCGCCAGAUUUUCUUCGCUGCUGCUCCUCGCCUGAACCGCGUGAAUUUGAACUUGCCGAUCUCAACUGCAUGUUUCACCGAAACACUGAGAAAGGAAAGAAGAAGAAAUGGAAGAAAGGGAAUGGAGGAUUCGCUUCUCGUGUCACUGGUUGGUUAGUUCGUUAUUCUCGUUAACGUACUUUUGUGCUUCUUUCACUCUUGAGAUGCAUGCUGUGUAUGUUAUCAUUGUUAUUGUUACACCAUACCAUUCAAUAAAGGUUAGUGUUUAUUUGAUUUCUUAAAUAGUUAAAAACAAUACUAACAUGCUGCAAUAUGCCAAAUAGGAAUUUUGUUAUUUAGCAGUGUUCAGCUAGCUUUAAAAAACUGGCUUAUUUUAAACAGUUACUACUUUUUCUCAUAUAUCACUUUAUAAACCUUAUUUUCUCAGAUCUUUUGGUUAUUUAUUUAGGCAUGUCAAAAAUUGGUUUUACCCGUAUCAACUUUCCAAUGUCAUUAAAUCUAUUCAAUUUUCCAAUGUCAUUAACUCUAUUCAAUUUUCCAAUGCCAUUAACUCUAUUCAAUUUUCAGAAACAAACUUCUCAAUAUAUCAAAUUUAAAAAGAGUAAAAAAUAUAUAAACUGAGAGUAUAAAAGUUUUUUACACUAUCAUUGCAUCAUCUUCCAUUCAUUUUAAAUAAAAGUAAUACAAAUGAAUAUUAGAUGAUGCACUGAAUUAUAUAUAAAUCUUUACCCCAUCAAUCCAUAGAUUUUACACUCAUUUAAAAAUCAUAAUAAAGAUAACAACCCACAAGUCAAACUAACUUCUCAACAGGUCUAAGUGAUAAAGAAAUUUUAGUACAUUUGUUUAGAGUAGAAAUACAUAAAUAUGUUUUUAUCUGAUACAACCAUGGUUCAACUACAAAUUUAACUGGUGGAACAAACCCGAGAAUCUCGCAACUUUAACUUCUAAUUUACUUUUAAACAUUGAUAUUGAUUUCCCUUACAAUUUACAACACAUUUAGAAGUCUCAGGACUAUAGAACUGUCUGAAUUCUUUUAGUACCAAGCAGCAGAGGCCUUUCAAAUUGGAAUUAAGGCCUAGUGUGCUAGUUUGAAGGUAAAGGUGAGAACCAUUAACUAACAUGAACCUGAAGUACAAAGGUCGAAGUAUUGUCUCCAAAAUUCAAGCGAGACUAACACUAGUUUAAUUGUCAUGAAAAAAGAAGCAUAUAAAAUAUUUCAAAUGAAUCCAGUGAAAGACAAAUAAUGAGAACAAUACCACUAUCAUAUAUAACUACCAAAAACCACUUAUGUUGUGGCUUAUCUUCAGUAACUUCUGUAUUACUAUUUAUACAUUAGGAAGCCUUAGUCAAGGGCUUGAAAGGCAUAUGAUCCUCCUUCAUGUAUAACAGUCAACAAUAAUCUGGGGGUACUAUAAUCCCGCCAAAGAAAAGAAGAAGAAAAAACAUUGCCCUCUCAGGACAAUAAAUAGGACUGGGAGAACCUAUCUCCCUGAUUGCACAUUUCACUGCAUAUUACAAAAUCACAUGCACCACUUUCUCUUCCAACUCCAAAUCUCUAAUAAACUUUUUUUAUAACAUGUUUAUAGAGCCAAAACAACAAAGCUGUAUUAUGAAAUUCUAUAGAAACAAUAGAUGAAAGAAAAUGAUCAUUUGCCCAAGGCUACUCCAGCCUCUGAUCCUGGCUGAAGUUCAGAGACUCCCUCCAUAUAAGCUCUUUUAUAUCUUCUUCAUUCAGGGUUGCUUGUUCAAAAUCAAAGAUGAAAGGAGUUGGACAAGUAGGCUCCUCAUUGAUCUCAUGAAGACUUGAUAAGUAUGGGUGAUUCAGUGCUUCCUCGACUACGCAAUCAUAGAAUAAAAGUGAAGCUUACAAGGAAUAAGUAACAAUGGUACAAAUGCUAAACAAAAUACAGAGACAUACCAG